CUGGUGCUUCGAAUUUUACCUUUGGUCUCGGCCCCACUAGGCCACAGAGCUUCGUGGUGCCUCCCGGGGCGGCCGGGUGCCAUCCUCUACAGCCUCAGCAGCAACAACUCUUACAACAACAACAACAACAACAACAACAACAACAGCAACAAUACCAACAACGCCAUAACCAGCAAUACUUGUUUUCGCUGAGGAACAAUGACAACGUUAACGGUGAUCAUGGGUUUCUUGAGAGAUUGUCAUCAAGAGUGGGACCCACAAGCAUGGUGAUGGGACUGUCGUCCGA
rnacentral:lncRNA from 1 species